UGCCACCUCACUGGUCUCCCAACCAUUUGUCACAGAGCACCCAAAGUUACUCAGCUAGACCAAAUAUCUGAACAUGCCUCUCCCCGACUUAAAACCUUUUGCCAGCUCCUCAGCACCUGAACAUAGAGUCCAGUGCUCACCAAGGUCUACCUGGCCUCCCUUCUGUGACUCCAGCCUACUCUCUUGCCACUCCCCACCUGCUAAGCAAUGCCCUGGAGAUGUGUAUACAGGCUCAGAAUAUGCUGCACGCUCUCCUACCACUGGGACUUCACUGGAGAUCCUGACCGGGUGUGGCGGCUCAUGCCUGUAAUCCUAACACCUUGGGAGGCUGAGGCAGCAGGAUCGCUUGAGCCCAGGAGUUUGAGGCUGCAUACCAGACAACAGCCUAACCCCAACUAAGGUAAACUCUGCCACCAAACAUGCCUGGGAAUGGAGAAGGGUCUGCAGAUGAGAACCCCUUCUGGUUCUAUGAUUCAAAUCUUCAUUCACUCAAAGCAGGAACCAAAUCCAGUGCUCCUCCAUUGUUGGAAUAAAUGCUCUUUGCCUGAAUGCUAUUUGUGGUCUUCGUAGAAUGGAGAGUAACUGAAGGCCCCACCGGAAAUCAAUUUUAUGUAAGCUUUUCAUUCUCUG
rnacentral:lncRNA from 1 species